GCCCCCACCUUCUUCCUCCCCGGCUCAUACCCCACCCCACCCCUCAAUCCCCACCAACCACCGCCCUCUCCACCAUCGUCGAGCACCUCCAUCGGCCACCCACCCACUGGCGCCAACCCUGACGACCCAGGCGCACCCGAGACCCGGCGCCCCCAUCCAUCUACCUCCUCACUGCGUCGCGCCGCCGCGCCACCAAAGCGCUACCCGGCGAUGGAUCCAAGCCGGAAACCGCCCCAGCGUGCCUCCUGGCGGCGGAUCCGGGCCGGCAACUAUUCCCCUCCUCCCCCAUGACUGGUUUCCUCUCCUUUGUGUCAAGAUCGACGGUGUUCAGUGUAGAAGCCGGACGACGUGAUGCUGCUGUUACCGAUCUGCUGCAGCAUCUCUUGUUCGACUCCGAGAUCACUGGCGAUGAACACAAUCAGAUGAGGACGUGCAUGUGUGUGGCGUGUGCGCUGCUGCUCGCCAACGCUGUCGUGUGUGUGCAUCGUGCCGACUAUGUGUCGGGUCAUCCACAGGGCUUCGUUCUCGGUAUCGACGGUGAUCACGAGUGCGAGGUCGAAGUUUGUGAGCUUAGGGUGGAAGCAUGUGUCGAGCAGGAUGUUCCUGCUCUUGGAAUACUUGUGCACGUAGUUGAGUCCGCCUGCCACGUCCAACGCGACCUAGACAAGCUGGCUCCAUCCGAGCACCUCGUCGUUGUGGAGCCACUUGCUAAGCGUGCUGUUCUCGGCGAACUCAAACAUCAUGUACGUCAAUACAUGUAGCCGCCGUGCAUGCAGUGAUGGAGAGGCCCCGGACAGGCGGAUGAGGCUCAAGUCGUUAGCUCCUGUUCGCGAUCGUCGGUUGUAGCGCAUGGCAUGGCGUUGGUGGGGAGAUGCAAAGGGAAGAUGAUAAGGGAAGAUGAUAGGGGAUUACUCGAUAAGUAUGCGGAGACUUUUUUUAACUAUAUUUGAUAUACUUCAGAUGGUGAGCAUAAUAAUGGAGAUGGUGUCGGAUGUGGGGUUCUGGCAAACCCUUAAGGUUCGAACACUGGGGUGCGCGUGAAGCCUAUUCCUCCCACCGAUCUACGCCCUAGCUUGCUAAGAUCUCGCGGACGAACUCGCAACAUAGAAAUACACAAAAUUUAUAUUGAUUCGGGCCACCGUUGUGGUGUAAUACCCUGCUCCAGUGUGGUGGCGGUGGAUUGCCUCUAGGGCAGAUGAUGAACAAUACAAUGGGAAGAGCAGUCUCUUGAGGUUGA